rnacentral:tRNA from 1 species
CGGGAUGUAGCGCAGUCCGGCUAGCGUACUCGAAUGGGGUUCGAGCGGUCGCAGGUUCAAAUCCUGUCAUCCCGACCA